rnacentral:rRNA from 1 species
UCGAACGCGGUUACCCUGCAAGGGGUAACUGAGUGGCGAACGGGUGAGUAACACGUGGGUGACCUACCUUCGAGUGGGGGAUAACGUCCCGAAAGGGACGCUAAUACCGCAUAACAUCCUGUCCUUGAACGGAUGGAGAUCAAAGCCGGGGAUCGCAAGACCUGGCGCUUGAUGAGGGGCCCGCGUCCGAUUAGCUAGUUGGUGAGGUAAUGGCUCACCAAGGCAACGAUCGGUAGCCGGCCUGAGAGGGCGGACGGCCACACUGGGACUGAGACACGGCCCAGACUCCUACGGGAGGCAGCAGUGGGGAAUUGUUCGCAAUGGGCGCAAGCCUGACGACGCAACGCCGCGUGGAGGAUGAAGGUCUUCGGAUUGUAAACUCCUGUUGCCCGGGACGAAAAGCUCCGACCUAACACGUCGGAGUCUGACGGUACCGGGUGAGGAAGCCCCGGCUAACUCUGUGCCAGCAGCCGCGGUAAUACAGAGGGGGCAAGCGUUGUUCGGAAUUACUGGGCGUAAAGGGCGCGUAGGCGGCCUGCUAAGUCGAACGUGAAAUCCCUGGGCUCAACCCAGGAACUGCGUCCGAUACUGGUUGGCUUGAAUUCGGGAGAGGGAUGUGGAAUUCCAGGUGUAGCGGUGAAAUGCGUAGAUAUCUGGAGGAACACCGGUGGCGAAGGCGGCAUCCUGGACCGAUUUUGACGCUGAUGCGCGAAAGCCAGGGGAGCAAACGGGAUUAGAUACCCCGGUAGUCCUGGCCCUAAACGAUGAAGGCUUGGUGUGGCGGGUAUCGAUCCCUGCCGUGCCGAAGCUAACGCAUUAAGCAU